rnacentral:rRNA from 1 species
AUUGAACGCUGGCGGCAUGCUUUACACAUGCAAGUCGAACGGUAACAGGUCUUCGGAUGCUGACGGGUGGCGAACGGGUGAGUAAUGCAUCGGAACGUGCCCAGUCGUGGGGGAUAACGCAGCGAAAGCUGCGCUAAUACCGCAUACGAUCUAUGGAUGAAAGCGGGGGACCGUAAGGCCUCGCGCGAUUGGAGCGGCCGAUGUCAGAUUAGGUAGUUGGUGGGGUAAAGGCCCACCAAGCCAACGAUCUGUAGCUGGUCUGAGAGGACGACCAGCCACACUGGGACUGAGACACGGCCCAGACUCCUACGGGAGGCAGCAGUGGGGAAUUUUGGACAAUGGGCGCAAGCCUGAUCCAGCAAUGCCGCGUGCAGGAAGAAGGCCUUCGGGUUGUAAACUGCUUUUGUACGGAACGAAACGGCCCUCUCUAAUACAGAGGGCUAAUGACGGUACCGUAAGAAUAAGCACCGGCUAACUACGUGCCAGCAGCCGCCGUAACAC